UCGAGCGGCAGCGCGGGGCAACCUGGCGGCGAGCGGCGAACGGGUGAGUAAUGCAUCGGAACAUGUCCAUUCGUGGGGGAUAGCCCGGCGAAAGCCGGAUUAAUACCGCAUACGCCCUGAGGGGGAAAGUGGGGGACCGCAAGGCCUCACGCGAAUGGGUUGGCCGAUGUCCGAUUAGCUAGUUGGUGGGGUAAAGGCUUACCAAGGCGAUGAUCGGUAGCUGGUCUGAGAGGAUGAUCAGCCACACUGGGACUGAGACACGGCCCAGACUCCUACGGGAGGCAGCAGUGGGGAAUUUUGGACAAUGGGGGCAACCCUGAUCCAGCCAUUCCGCGUGAGUGAAGAAGGCCUUCGGGUUGUAAAGCUCUUUUGUCCGGAACGAAACGGUUAGCGUGAAUAUCGCUGACUACUGACGGUACCGGAAGAAUAAGCACCGGCUAACUACGUGCCAGCAGCCGCGGUAAUACGUAGGGUGCGAGCGUUAAUCGGAAUUACUGGGCGUAAAGCGUGCGCAGGCGGUUUUGUAAGCCAGAUGUGAAAGCCCCGGGCUUAACCUGGGAAUGGCAUUUGGGACUGCAAGGCUGGAGUGCGGCAGAGGAGUCUGGAAUUCCUGGUGUAGCAGUGAAAUGCGUAGAUAUCAGGAGGAAUACCGAUGGCGAAGGCAGGUCUCUGGGCUGACACUGACGCUCAUGCACGA
rnacentral:rRNA from 1 species